rnacentral:rRNA from 1 species
AUAUGGAAAAUUAAAAUGCCACCUAGGGUAAAAGUGUUCAUGUGGCUAGCUCUUAGGAAUAACAUCCUCACAAAAGUUAAUUUGCUCCGUAGAGGAUGGAAAGGUGACAAAAAGUGCCCCUUUUGUGGGCAAGUUGAAACUAUUGAUCGUCUCUUCUUUUCCUGUUAG